rnacentral:sRNA from 1 species
GCACCUGCAAAAUCAGGUGCCGGGAUUGGAACCCUGAUUAACUUCACUGACGACACAAGGCGCGUCUGCGCUUUUUUU